rnacentral:rRNA from 1 species
AGGAUAAACGCUGGCGGCGUGCCUUAAGCAUGCAAGUCGAACGGUUUCGUCUUCGGACGGGAUAGUGGCGAACGGCUGAGUAAGACGUUUGUGACCGAUCCGAGUGGGGGGACAACUCCGCGAAAGCGGGGCUAAUACCGCGUACGUCCCAUCCAAUAGAAUGGAUGGGAGAAAGCUGUCGCAAGAUGGCGCACUCGGGCGGGCGGACGGCCCAUCAGGUAGUUGGGGGGGUAAUGGCCUCCCAAGCCGAUGACGGGUAGCUGGUCUGAGAGGAUGACCAGCCAGACUGGGACUGCGACACGGCCCAGACUCCUACGGGAGGCAGCAGCUAGGGAUCUUGCACAAUGGGCGAAAGCCUGAUGCAGCAACGCCGCGUGGGGAUGACGGUUCUCGGAUUGUAAACCCCUUUGGCCGGAAAGAGAUAGGACGGUACCGGUCGAAUCACGCCCGGCUAACUACGCGCCAGCAGCCGC